UACGUAGGGUGCAAGCGUUGUCCGGAAUUAUUGGGCGUAAAGAGCUCGUAGGCGGUUUGUCACGUCGGGAGUGAAAACUCGGGGCUCAACCCCGAGCCUGCUUCCGAUACGGGCAGACUAGAGGUAUGCAGGGGAGAAUGGAAUUCCUGGUGUAGCGGUGAAAUGCGCAGAUAUCAGGAGGAACACCGGUGGCGAAGGCGGUUCUCUGGGCAUUACCUGACGCUGAGGAGCGAAAGCCAGGGGAGCAAACGGG
rnacentral:rRNA from 1 species